CACUCACUUACAGCCUCGAGAUUUGAAGUCUUCUCCUAUUUUACACGACAUGCGCGCCUGGCUGGAGGAGAGGGUUUGAUACGCAUGCGUGAGUUACUCCCACCCACAACACAACGUGCAUGAUCUUGUUAUAGCCAUUUGGGUCCUGUCUAAGAAGGCUCCCCCUUCAAUUAUUUUGUUUUUAUUUGACUGAAAACAAAUCCGAGCAGCUCCUAGAAUGGCUUGCAGACAUUUAAUGCAAAUCAAUGGAGUGAAAAAAAAAAACAGAAGUAUGAAAGAGAAGGGGGUUCCUCGUUUGUCAUGUCUUACAUAAGAUGUUUAGAGAAGCCCACUCAUGACAUUUCCUUUUAAAAAAAA